UACAGAGGGUGCGAGCGUUAAUCGGAAUUACUGGGCGUAAAGCGUGCGUAGACGGUAGCGUAAGUCAGAUGUGAAAGCCCCGGGCUCAACCUGGGAAUUGCAUUUGAGACUGCUCUGCUCGGGUGCGGAAGAGGGAAGCGGAAUUUCCGGUGUAGCGGUGAAAUGCGUAGAUAUCGGGAGGAACACCUGUGGCGAAAGCGGCGCACUGGACCAUAACUGACGCUGAGGCGCGAAAGCUAGGGGAGCAAACAGG
rnacentral:rRNA from 1 species